GGACGGGGCCCGCACAAGCGGCGGAGCAUGCGGAUUAAUUCGAUGCAACGCGAAGAACCUUACCAAGGCUUGACAUACACCGGUAACGCCCAGAGAUGGGUGCCCCUUUGUGGUCGGUGUACAGGUGGUGCAUGGUUGUCGUCAGCUCGUGUCGUGAGAUGUUGGGUUAAGUCCCGCAACGAGCGCAACCCUCGUCCUAUGUUGCCAGCGGGUCAUGCCGGGGACUCAUGGGAGACUGCCGGGGUCAACUCGGAGGAAGGUGGGGAUGACGUCAAAUCAUCAUGCCCCUUAUGUCUUGGGCUUCACGCAUGCUACAAUGGCCGGUACAAAGGGCUGCGAUACCGCGAGGUGGAGCGAAUCCCAGAAAGCCGGUCUCAGUUCGGAUUGGGGUCUGCAACUCGACCCCAUGAAGUCGGAGUCGCUAGUAAUCGCAGAUCAGCAUGCCGCGGUGAAUACGUUCCCGGGCCUU
rnacentral:rRNA from 1 species